AAAUCAGAUUGUUCCCAAGCUUCCCAGUUUAAAGUGAAUUAUGACCCUGCAUGGAUCAUCAUACAGCACACUAAAACAUGAACCAAAACUGAACUGUGGCAUACACUUAAUUAGGUACCAGAAAUUAAGAAUGGGAAAUUACCACACAUUAAUACCCUUUUCCUUAGGCCUGUCUUAGGAAAAUAUUGAAUGCUGUAAGAGGCAUUGCAGAAGGCAGGGAGGGGAUUGGAUCAGGGGAAUCAAACACUGCCUGUGGUCAGCUCAUGCUGGGGAAAGAGAGCAAACCCCAAUGUGGAUGCUCACUGUGGGUCAGCUGCUACCUUCAGUGAACAGCCCUAGAAAUACUGACUCUUUGUUUUCCUGUGUCUUCUAUCACCUCAUUCAUUUUGCUUCUACCAGGCAAUGAACGUGUAGCCCAUGAAGAUAAUUCUUCAUGGCCAGAAAACAAUGCUGAGAUCACAGCUGUGGAGUGCUCCAGACAACCCACACUGGGAAAAUCCAGCACCUUUGUGGCCAUGGAUCUGUGCUGGCCAUGAACCACAGGGAUACUUGGAGCAUCAUUCCUGCAGCUGCCUCCUGCCCCAGGGAGGCAAAAGAUGGGCCAAACUCCAGAUCCUAUCAAUGAAAGGAUAAAGAAGAGAGAAGAAACCCUUCUGCCAGGCCAGACAUUUGCUGGUCACUAGCACAUUCCACACCACAGCAAGACCGUAUUUAUUUUUGUGUGCUAAAUGCUGUAGCAAGGUUAGUCCACAAAUAAAUAAAUGAGUAGAGGUUCA
rnacentral:lncRNA from 1 species